AAUAAGACACCAAUACAAUGCUGAACAUUCUCCAAAACAAGAUGCAACAUACACAUCAUUCAUUUGGCUAUUCAACGGGAAUAUGUCACGUUUUUUGCCAUAAUUAUUCUUGUUUCAUGUUUGCCCACGAUGGCAGGACAAGACUUUCAGGUAAAGCAAAUCCUGGUUUUCCAAUGUCAAAAGGCCUUGGCCGCUUGCAGGUAAUACUUAGUUUUCCAUUUUUAACCUUAAGGUUGCACCUUAUGUUUAAAUUGUCCAUCCGAACAUCUUUUUUUUUUCUUUUUCUUCUUUCCUUCGGGUAAUAAAGAAUAGUGACCUUGAAGAAUUAAGAGAAUUGGGGUCCGGCACCUUUGGCACUUUUUACCAUGGAAAAUGGAGGGGACUGAUGUUGCUAUAAAACGAAUCAAUGAUAGGUGUUUUGCUGGGAAGCCUUCUAAACAAGAUCGCAAGUGAGAAGAUUUUUAGAAUGAAGCAAUUAAGUUUGCUGAUUUGCACCACCCAAAUGUGGUACUUUUUAUGGUGUCGUGCUUGAUGGGCCUGGGAGAUCUGUGGCCACAGUAACAGAAUAUAUGGCCAAUGGUUCGCUCAAAAAUGCUUUGUUGAAGAAUGAAAAGAGUCUUGAAAAGUGGAAGCGCCUCUUGAUUGCUAUGGAUGCGGCUUUUAGAAUGGAACACCUGCACAGAAAGAAUAUUGUGCACUUUGAUUUUGAAAGUGAUAAUCUACUGGUCAAUCUUCGAGAUCCUCAUCACUCAAUAUGCAAGGUUUGUGUAUUACUGAUAAUAGCAGAAUCAUCAUUGUAGUGCAUUCCAUUUAGUUAAACUCUUGAUUUGAUUUUUAAACAAAACAGGAUGAUAACCAAUUUUUAU